ACCUGACUGGCUCAGCUGGUAGAGCAUGGGACUCUUGAUCUCGAGGUUAAGAGUUCAAGCUCCAUGUUGGGCA
rnacentral:tRNA from 1 species